CACGUCCAGCUCAGUUUGGUUUUGAUUUCCAUUUCACAACUCUGAUAUAGUGCGUUUGUUACUCAGCUAUGUAACUUUAUAUUUGAAUAUCCAUUAAUUGACUUUGACAUCACCCCAAGCUUUGCCCUCCACUCUUAAUUUAGGAUCCAAUAUUUACCUACUACUUUAGUUCUUACCUAGGUUUUGGUCCUGCUGUAUCCUGACAUAUCUAGGGAAAGCCACAUGCAAAAACGAAUACUGCAGGUAAACACUCCAGCCAUUAUCCAAAGGUCAUAUUUUACAGAUGUGCUCUGUGUGGAACUGGAAAUUGAUCUGCAUUCAUUUUUCAGACACCUCUGCAUAUAUAACAGUGUUGGUACCUAGUAAUUUCCCGAGCAAGAGACAGCUGAUAAUCAAAGUGUUUGGACUGCUCCUGCCUGACAGAACUGUGAGAUAUGGUCUCCACAUCUAGGUACUAAGUAUCUGACCAGAUAGAUUGUUGAGGUAGUUCUACUCAGGGUACUAUGAUGCAGGUCUGGAAUUUACUUCUCUUUGUGAUGUUAACCAUCACCCAACCAUGGGACCACUGGUGUGAGUCUUUCCACCUUUCUAAGGUUCACUCCCUCAUUAGCAUCUCAUCCUAAGGACACCUUCUACCUCCUUGUCCUCUAAGCAAUGCUUUUCAAACCCUACAGACCAGUGCCUGCAUCAGAAUAAUGAGGAAGGGCUUUUGGAAUACUAUGCAGCCAUGUCCCUCUGCAGGGACAUGGAUGAAGCUGGAAACCGUCAUUCUCAGCAAACUAACAUAAGAACAGAAAACCAAACACCACAUGUCCUCACUCAUAAGUGGGAGUUGAACAAUGAGAAUACAUGGACACGGGCAGUGACCUGAGAAGCUACGUAUUGACACGGCGCUACCACGGGUGGAGGAGCCUGCAUUGCUGAAUCACAGGAUGAAGGCGAAUCCCUGCCAGCCUCCAUCCAUCUCUGGGGUGCUUAGCAGAAUCCUCAGCUCACAAGAUGAAUAAAUGCAGACUAAAUGAUGCACAAAUAAUCUUCACACACAACCAUCAACACAUGGAAAGACUGCAGGACGGCCAGAUCCCAAGCUAACAAACAGGGGAAGAUGAUGUUUCAAAUGAUCAUCUGAAUGCUGGGUUUCCACCUUCCACCAGGAAGUCAUAUGGUCAAAUUAUCCCGGAUCCUGAAAUAUAUCUUUUGAUAGAAAUGACUCUGGUACUUUCCGCAACUUACUUUCUAUGGAGCACUUUCCUGAAACAAGAUUUGUGUUUAAAUAUUCCUCCUUCUACAAAGUAUUAAACAGUAGUAAGUUCUGCAACGUUGACAAUGGAAACCUGGCAAUGUGCCCUUGUUUGACUAUUAAGGAAUUGCUUCCAAGUACCACAGGGCCUUGAAGACCAAAAUAACACAAUUACCUGGAAGGUGAACAAUGGCAACUUAUCAGAAAAAGAAAAAAAAUGGCAUUAUGAUACAAACAGAAAAUGUAACAGUGGAGUGCAGAAAAUACAAAAAAAAGGAAAAAAUAAAUAGAAAAUCUUCAAAGAGGCAAUCUGUUUAAAUCUUCAAGAACUGGAAACAGUAAAAGUGAACAGGUUUUUAUUGAGCAUGUCAAUAAAAUGUUUGCAUAAG
rnacentral:lncRNA from 1 species